rnacentral:rRNA from 1 species
AGCGAACGCUGGCGGCAGGCCUAACACAUGCAAGUCGAACGGAUCCUUCGGGAUUAGUGGCGGACGGGUGAGUAACACGUGGGAACGUGCCCUUUGGUUCGGAACAACUCAGGGAAACUUGAGCUAAUACCGGAUGUGCCCUUCGGGGGAAAGAUUUAUCGCCAUUGGAGCGGCCCGCGUCUGCUUAGCUAGUUGGUGAGGUAACGGCCCACCAAGGCGACGAUCAGUAGCUGGUCUGAGAGGAUGAGCAGCCACACUGGGACUGAGACACGGCCCAGACUCCUACGGGAGGCAGCAGUGGGGAAUCUUGCGCAAUGGGCGAAAGCCUGACGCAGCCAUGCCGCGUGAAUGAUGAAGGUCUUAGGAUUGUAAAAUUCUUUCAGCGGGGACGAUAAUGACGUUACCCGCAGAAGAAGCUCCGGCUAACUUCGUG